rnacentral:rRNA from 1 species
AGUGAACGCUGGCGGCGUGCCUAAUACAUGCAAGUCGAACGAAGUGGCGCACGGGUGAGUAAUAUAUAGUUAAUCAGCCCUACACAGAGUAACAACAGUUGGCAACGACUGCUAAUACCUCAUAGUGUAGGAUGAGACAAUAUCGUAUCAGCUUGUUGGUAAGGUAAUGGCGUACCAUGGCUAUGACGAGUAACUGGUCUGAGAGGAUGAUCAGUGACAUUGGAACUGGGACACGGUCCAAACUCCUUCGGGAGGCAGCAGUAAGGAAUAUUGCGCAAGGGGGGAAACCCUGACGUAUCAACGCCGCGUGGAGGAUGACACUUUUCGGAGAGUAAACUCCUUUUAUCAGGAAAGCGGUACCUAAUGAAUAAGCACCGGCUAACUCCGUGCCAGCAGCCGCGGUAAUUC